CAUCUUUGAUGAAGCCGGGUUGCUCAGCAAGUCAUUCUUCGGUAGGAAUACUUUUUAGACAGCUCACAGUCUGAGAGGAGUGAAGGCUUAUAUACAGAGGAGGCGGGGUGAAUGAUCAUGAAUGAGUAAGACCUUAGACAUCUUGUU